rnacentral:hammerhead_ribozyme from 1 species
GUGCAGAUGACGAGUCCCAAAUAGGACGAAAUGCACUUCCAGAAU